CACUACAACGGGUGGAGCCUGCGGUUUAAGUUGGAUUCAACGCCGGAAAUCUCACCGGGGCGACAGCAAUAUGAAGGUCAGGCUGAAGACCUUACCCGAUUAGCUGAGAGGUGGUGCAUGGCCGUCGUCAGUUCGUACUGUGAAGCAUCCUGUUAAGUCAGGCAACGAGCGAGACCCACGUCCACAGUUGCCAGCAUACCCUCCGGGGUGAUGGGUACACUGUGGAGACCGCCGCUGCUAAAGCGGAGGAAGGAGUGGGCAACGGUAGGUCAGUAUGCCCCGAAUCUCCCGGGCUACACGCGGGCUACAAUGGUUGGUACAAUGGGCAUCUACCCCGAAAGGGGAAGGAAAUCUCUUAAAGCCAAUCGUAGUUCGGAUUGAGGGCUGCAACUCGCCCUCAUGAAGCUGGAAUCCGUAGUAAUCGCGUUUCAACAGAACGCGGUGAAUACGUCCCUGCUCCUU
rnacentral:rRNA from 1 species